GGAUCCAGACUUUGAUUCUGGCUCAGGAUGAACGCUAGCUACAGGCUUAACACAUGCAAGCCGAGGGGAAACGAUAGAGAAAGCUUGCUUUCUCUAGGCGUCGACCGGCGCACGGGUGAGUAACGCGUAUCCAACCUGCCCAUCACUUGGGGAUAACCUUGCGAAAGUAAGACUAAUACCCAAUGACGUCCAUAGAAGACAUCUGAAAUGGUUUAAAGAUUUAUCGGUGAUGGAUGGGGAUGCGUCUGAUUAGCUUGUUGGCGGGGUAACGGCCCACCAAGGCGACGAUCAGUAGGGGUUCUGAGAGGAAGGUCCCCCACAUUGGAACUGAGACACGGUCCAAACUCCUACGGGAGGCAGCAGUGAGGAAUAUUGGUCAAUGGGCGAGAGCCUGAACCAGCCAAGUAGCGUGCAGGAUGACGGCCCUAUGGGUUGUAAACUGCUUUUAUAAGGGAAUAAAGUGAGUCUCGUGAGACUUUUUGCAUGUACCUUAUGAAUAAGGACCGGCUAAUUCCGUGCCAGCAGCCGCGGUAAUACGGAAGGUCCGGGCGUUAUCCGGAUUUAUUGGGUUUAAAGGGAGCGUAGGCCGGAGAUUAAGCGUGUUGUGAAAUGUAGAUGCUCAACGUCUGCACUGCAGCGCGAACUGGUUUCCUUGAGUACGCACAAAGUGGGCGGAAUUCGUGGUGUAGCGGUGAAAUGCUUAGAUAUCACGAAGAACUCCGAUUGCGAAGGCAGCUCACUGGAGCGCAACUGACGCUGAAGCUCGAAAGUGCGGGUAUCGAACAGGAUUAGAUACCCUGGUAGUCCGCACGGUAAACGAUGGAUGCCCGCUGUUGGUCUGAAUAGGUCAGCGGCCAAGCGAAAGCAUUAAGCAUCCCACCUGGGGAGUACGCCGGCAACGGUGCAACUCAAAUGAAUUGACGG
rnacentral:rRNA from 2 species